AUGGACAUCAGCUCAGCGCUGCUCAUUUUAAUCAUCAGCUUUUUAGAUGUUGAUGGUCAGACUCUGAGAGAAUCUGAACCAGUGGUUAAAAGACCAGGAGAGUCUCACCAACUGACCUGUACGGCCUCUGGAUUCACAUUCAGCAGCUACUACAUGGCCUGGAUCAGACAGGCUCCUGGAAAAGGACUGGAAUGGGUUUCAAUGCAUGAUAGUGGCGGUGGUAGUAGCAAAUGGUAUUCUCAGUCAGUGCAAGGCCGGUUUACCAUUUCCAAGGACAACAGCAAACAGCAGGUGUAUCUGCAGAUGAACAGCCUGAGAACAGAAGAUUCUGCUGUUUAUUACUGUGCUCGAAGCGCACAGUGA